AACGCACAUUGCGCCCCUUGGUAUUCCGAGGGGCACGCCUGUUCGAGCGUCAUUUAAACAAUCAAGCCUUGCUUGGUCUUGGGCGCGGUCGAGUGACCCGUCCGUAACCCGUUGGCGGUGCAGUCCGGCUUCAAGCGUAGCAAAAAUUUCGCUUCAGGAGUCCGCGGCGGUACCCGCCAGGUAACUUGCAUACCUAAAGUUUGACCUCGGAUCAGGUGAGGAUACCCGCUGAACUUAA
rnacentral:misc_RNA from 1 species